GUCAACGUGGCGGGGCUGACGGUGGAGUGGUCGAAGCCCGACCUCAAGCCAGACCCCAAUGAUCGGCUGAGCCGGUUUGAAUAUGUGCAUGUUUACCGGGACAGCCGUGAGGUCCUGGACAUGAAGCUGUCAUCGUACAUCAGCAGGACGGCGCUGUUCACAGAUGGCCUGAGACAAGGCAACAUAUCGCUCAAGAUCAUUAAUGUGACGCUUGCAGACGAAGCGAGAUACAAAUGUUACAUCCCGAAGUUAAAAAGCCGAAGGCAGUCGUCAAUAGUCCGUCUGGUCAUUGAGUCAAACUCAUCCAAAGCCUGGACAACAGAGACACUGGACACUGCAGCCCAAAAGUCUCCAAAAUUCUGAUCCGAAGAAAGAGACAGAUGAUAAAGGUGAUGUGUUCAGUUGGAACAGUCUGAUCCUAGUUUUGGUUCUUUCUGGCAUCUUACUAAUCAUGGGAUUAGGAUUGAGAGCAUCAAAAACAAUAAGUACGUCCGAUGUAUUUAACUAAUGGCUUGUAAUGGUGUCUUCUGUCUAGUUGCCUUGCCCAAGUGCACUUUGGGAGACACUGUCUGAAUCCCAACAUCCACACUUACAGACUCACAAAAUCAUGUGCACAUGUGUACUUUUUGAGCCCUUCAUACACACUUUCCAUAGGUCCGCAUUCCCACGUUUAACCUCAAACACAGGGUUUCCAGGGGAAACUGGUGUUAAAAAAGAUAAACAAACAUGGAAGGAACAACCAAAAGCAAAAAGAAGUUUACAUGUAAGUGUACGAGGCUGAUAUUUGAAAAUGACCUCUGGUCCACUCUGUAAGGCAGGAUCCUGGAGUAAGUUCAAAUCAGGCAGACAGUCUCUUCAGUGUCUUUGCUGUGAAGUAAGUAAAAAAAAAAUAAAAACCCACAAUUGUUUUGGAAUAUUCAAGGUAACGUGAUGUGUUGCUAAGUGCAAUGCUGUUCCAUUAUACGAUUUUGGGCCCUUGCAACUGGUUCAGGGCUUUAGGGUUGAGAUGGAGAGUGAAAAGAGCACCAUUUAUCUCGCCUGGUUGCCCUGAUUUGAUGACAGUGUUUUAAAUUAUUCGAUCAAGUGACAUCUGGAGAAUUUAAAUACUAAAUGUGAGAUCCACAAAGAAGCAUUUCAUCUAUAUUUACAUAACUUUUGUAUUGGAGAUGAAACCAAUCGAACAUGUGACCUGUCUUUGCCUGCAGAUGUUUGGACAUUUAAAUCCUAAAUAAUCCUCAAAGGUUUUAUUUUUAUAUUUUUGAAGGUUGGUCUUUUCUUUGGUUAAGCAUUGUUCUUUUGCUCUUAAAGAUUUAACUGCAUGUUGUUAAUUUUGCGCUUCAGUAAGUGUUUACUAUUCAGAUGGUAAAUUCUACCUGUUGUGUUGUGUUUUGAUUGGGCUAGUAUAAAGCACAUUUGCGAAUGAUUGCAGUGUGUUUAUAUCAUGUGAGCUGUGAAUAUGAGCUGACCUUACAUUAAUUGCCAAUCUUUAGGAAACACCCCCUCGUCUCUUCUUUUAUAAUAAAUAAUAUAAUAUAAAAGCAACAAGGUUGAGCCUUAUAGCUCAUUGUCUUCAUGAGAAUCAGAAAGGCUUUAAC